rnacentral:lncRNA from 1 species
GUGGAUGGGGAGAGGGGAGUGGCUGUGGUCUCGGGUGGAUGGGGAGAAGAGAGUGGCUGUGGUCUCGGGCGGAUGGUGAGAGGGGAGUGGCUGUGGUCUCGGGUGGAUGGGGAGAGGGGAGUGGCUGUGGUCUCGGCGUUACUGGAGACACUGAGGAUGGGGCAGUUUCUAAAAUAUCAAUGUUCAUAAUACAUGGGGAAUUACAUUUCUGCAACCAUGUCCUUAUAUUUUAAAUGAAAGUACUUGAUGUGAACAAGUGAGGAGAUAAGAGUGAGGGGGUGGCGAGUUCGUGGAAAUGGUUUAAAGCCCACCAGCAUGGAGGUGGUGGGGGUGCCUCCAAGCACAGGUGGCAAAUCCCGCAAGACAGGAGCAGCAGUUAAGGGGGCCGUGGGUGAAGUUGGGGGGCGGCUGAUUACGGAGGAGCUUGUGGUGGGUGGGAUCCUGUCCUAGCCCAGACCCAGGGUCUCGGGAGGAUGAAGGACAGCAGAUGUGGGGGGUGGGGCCGCUCCCGCAGGUCUGGACAGAUCCAGGCUGCCAGGGCUGAGUCGGCCAAGGCUGUGGGGGCCCCUGUGUUACUGAAACCAAAGACGAUUCUACCUCCCCAAGGAAGGUACAGGAGCCCAAUGGAGUUCGAAUCUUCCCUGAGCACCACACUCUUUAGAAAGCCCAAACACAAAUUCUCUCCCUAUUUUAAAAACUUCUUCCACUUUCGGUCCCCUAAACACGUCCUUAGCCUACCUUCUGGGGACUUUUCCACAGCGUGUUAAAGGUUUGGGACUUUCAGGACAGUGGGAAGACAUCGCAAGCUGCGUAACAGAGGAGUGGCUAUUCACCUGUUGUACCUUAGAGAAAACGCCACACUUUGAGACGAAUUAAGAGUCCGUUUAUUUAGCCGGUGGUCAAGAGACGGCUAACGCUCAAAGUUCUCUUGGCCCCGAAGAAGGGGCUAGAUUUUCUUUUAUACUUUGGUUUAGAAAGUGGAAGGGGGUCUAGCUAAAACAAUUUUACAGAAAUAAAGUAGGCAAAAAAGUUAAAUGGAUAAAUGGUUACAGGAAAGUAAACAGUUCCAGGUGCAGGGGCUUUAAGACUAUUACAAGGUGAUAGACGCGGGGCUUUGGGCGUUAUCAAUCGGGUGAAUUCCUGGGAACUGUGGAUAUUGCUCGCCACAGUAUCUUAUCAGUUAAUUGCAUUCUUGGAUGUGCUGGGAGUCAGCUUGCACAAGUUAAGUCCUUGAGGAAGGGACUGCCAGUGAAAGAGCCAAGAUGGAGUCUGUCUGGCUCUCUUAGCCAAGGGAGAGUCUAAGAACAGGGUUAGUAAAAACAAGGUUGGGCAUUACACACCCAUAGAGUCAUUUCCUGGACAUUUGUGAGGCUUAGGAUGUGCCAGGCCUGGGGCCAAACACCUGCUGCACUCUCUCCUGAAGCCGACAGAGACCCUAGACAGCAGGUGCUGUCCUCAGCCCCUUUCUCCAGAUGAGAAAACCAAGGCGUGGACCUGCCCGAGGCCCCAGCCAGCACCUCAGCGGGGCUCCUGGGUCCUGGAGUCCUGGGUCCCGGCCAGGCGAGCCCAGAGCUCUGCUCUGAGCAGACACAGCCUGCUGCUUUUCCAGGGUUCUGGAGUUAGAAAACAAUGGACACACGCUGUGAAAGCUGCUCAGCCCUUUGUCUUUGAAAUGGCACCGAUGUGGCCGGUUCUGGGAGUUCCUGGGGGAAACAAAGUAACUUAAUCUUCCAGAGACUCAGUGAAACCUGAAAUAGCUCUGGUCUCUCCACGAAGUUGGACAACUUCCAUCCAAUUAAUUACCAGAACAAAACACAGAAUCAGAAAACAUCUUGGAUUGCAAGAGUCGUUGGCAAUACAAUUUAACUCUUUCCACCUCUGGAAUUAGAAAUCCCAUUAACAGCCUUUUAAGUUUGAAACAGCUGAUUCCAGCUGAGCCUCAUUAACUAGCAGCACCCGCUGGCUGUCUCUUCUCGGGGCUCCUAGGGAGAAGCACAGUCACUCAGAAAAUGAGGCCAGGGUGAUGAGUGACACAAAUGGGCCCACAGCCUGGGACACAGGGGACAUGUCCACAUCCUGUGAGAGCAAGGCACACCCAGCUGUCUUCCCAUGGGCAUCUAUGAGCCCCUCUGUGCACUGGGCUUCCUGGCACUACCCUCCCUGUGGAACCUGGCCGGCUGCCAGGAGAAGCUCAGUGGGCAUCAUGGGUGCUGGGCAGGGCCUCCCAUCUGCCAGAGGCUUUUAUGAGCCCUGGGUGACAGCAGCCUGGGAGUCCUGGAGGGGACAGCUGAGGGGAUGUCUCUGCUGCAGGCCACACCCCUGGCUUAUCUGGGAGUCCCCUGCUCCCUCGCUCUGUCCACAUGGUCUGGUCUGGGUGGGGCUGACUCCACCCCCAGGUCAGGUGUGCUCCUGUGACCCAGACCUGUGAGAGGAGAACAUUCCAUUCUCAUGGCCUGGGCAAUGGGUUCCGGGGUGGGCACUUGGCUGUGACCCAGACCUGUGAGAGGAGAGCAUUCCAUUCUCAUGGCCUGGGCGAUGGGUUCAGGAGUGGGCACUUGGCUGGACCUGCUUGGAGAAGUCAGUCGGCUUCAGUGGACUUAGCCCCAAGGAGAUGCUGGCCUGGGAGGGCCCUGGACACAGGAAAUCAGAGCCCUGAGGUCAUGCCUGAGCUGCAGGAUCACGCUGUGCCUGAAGCUGUCCCGGCCUGAGGAUUUCAAUGCAUUUCCUCUGGUGCCUGGGCUGGUCUGGGGCUUCUCUCACCCCCAGAGUCCUGACUCCUGAGCGCCCCCUGUGGCCUGUGCAGAAGAGGGUGGUUGUGGACACUCUCCCACCCAGUGCAGCCGCCUGUGGCCACCCUGAGGACAGUGACAUGGUGCUGAAUUCACCUCCUGUGUGAUGUUGGGACCCUGCUCCCCAAUGGGGGCCUCACCCCCAAAAAUGUCUCUGGAGUCUUUGGGGUGCUGCUGUUGACACAUGAGAUCAGUCCUGCCAUCUGAUCUGGCACUGCUGCUGGCACUGCUGCUGGCCCUGCUGCUGGUCAGUCAGCUCCUGGCCACCGUGCUGGGGUCUGAGCCCCAUGGACAUCCCGGGGUCCUCAGCCCAGACCCAGGAGGGACACAGGGAGUAGAGUGGGGUGAUGCCCCCGUCACCUCCCGAGGCCCCGGGAGUGAGUGCCGGGACCCUCUGUCCUAACCCUCUGCCUCCCUGGGUGUUAACCCACCUGGGCAAAAGUGCGUGGUUCAAUGCCAAGGCCAGGGCCAUGGGCCCUGCGUUUCCCUGCAGAGUCCCUGGGCUUCUUGGCCCAUCACAGGCUUGAGGAUCAGCACCUGCAGCCCGUGGUGGUUGUUUUCUCAUCUGUAAAUGCGGAUUUGGGCUUUAGAGCUGACUCUUUGUCACCGAGAGCACAGCCUGUCUUCUCUGUUCCUUUCCUUUGUGACUCAGAGGCCCUCUGCGCCUUGGUGGGAGGAAGAGGAAUCAUCCUUGUUGCUGACCCCCUGCGACGGUGCUGGCUGGACGGGGUGUGCAUCGUGCCAGGAGCUGGUCCCUCAUUCAUCCUCACAGCAGCCCUCCCGGGCUCGCCCGCCGUGACUUUCACUCCCAUUUCACAGACGAGGACCCUGAGGUCCAGGGAGGCUGAGUGGGCUGCCCUCCCCAGCUGGAGCCUGGAGGGGAUUUGAACUCGGGCCUCAGGGCAGAGCCUGUCGCUGUCUGGGCUGGGCUGAGCUGACUCCCCAGGGCCGUCAGCUCCACUGCAUCCUGACCACCUGGGAACUGUGGUCAGCACUUUCCAGGCUCAAAGGCAUGGCUGCUUACAGCGUGCCCGAGGGACAGCCCAGCUGCAGCCCCUCCUCACCAGCGACCCCUGGGCCCUUUGCCUCGGGGCCAGGCAAGCGGAGAGCAGAGAGCAGUGUGUGAGGAGGGAAAAAAGCCGGACUACAGGGACCCCAGCCACCCGCCAGCCCCUACCCUGCAGCCUCUCCUGCCAGAGGCCGAGGCUCCUGAGCUGCCCCGUGCAGGGAGUGUGGCCAGGCGAGGCUCCGUGGAGUGCAGGAGCUGCGGCAGCAGGAGAGCCAGGAGGAGGCUGUGGCUCUUGCCCAGGCAAGCAGACAUGCCAGCUGUACGCAGUCCUGGGCCACGUAUCGUGUGUGGUCUUAGGAAAUGUGAGUGUACACUUGGUGCGUGCCUGUGUGUGCCCAUGUGCAUGUGUGUGUACACAGCCUCAGCCCACAUAUCAUGUGUGUGAAUUCAGGAAACGUGUGCGUGUGAGUGCAUGUGUGUACAUGCGCGUAGGUGUGCAUGUGCCUGUGUGUGUUCUCAUGUACACAGCAGAGCUGUGGGUCUCAGCCCCCGCUGCAGGCUGGAACCCCCUGGGGGUGUGGUGGAUCUGGAACUUGGGAAGCAGCCCGGCAGCGUCGCCCAGAGCUGAAGAUCCACUUACCCCGACCCAGCAGUUCCACUCCGGGGUGUCUGCACCACAGACAGGGGCAUGUGUGUUCACCAGAAAGUGCUCUUAGCGGCACCGUUCGUGAGCGCCAGCCUGGAAAUUGCUGCAAUGCGCGUUAAUCGUGCAGUGGGCACGUGAGCGGGAAUGGCCAUGCUGGGCCUCCCUGUCCAGGGGAGCCCUGACCCCCUCUCCCCUGCCCCGGGGAGAGGCUGAGGAGCAGUUUCCAGGCCUGGGAGGGAUCUGGCCAUCCUGGGAGUGACUGGGGAGGAUGGAGAGUGCUGGCUCAGCCCACAGUGACUGCACAGCUCUCCCCGCCGCCUCCUCCUCCAGGAACAACAAGGGCCCUUGUGUCCGCCUCCCCCAGGGACAGUGCCCCAGUGAGGAACAGAGCCUGGCCUGGGAGGUGGCCCCAGGGCAGGCCUGGGUCCCAGCGGUUAAGUCUGGCCUCAGCCCUGGGGCUCUGGGCGGGGCUGCAGUGAGGGGAUGGCGCUCUCGGUGCACCAGACUGGAACUUCUGCCCCCUCCCCGGAUAGCCAGCUCUGCCACCCGCUGAAAAGGGUCCCUGGGCUGUGGACAGGCACCGUAUCAUGCUCUGCUAUGUGGUCCUGAGGGGGACAACAGAUGUCCCUAGGGUCCGUCCAGGACUCACCUGCCUGUCUCUGUAUUUCUCUGCCAGGUCACCCCUACUUGGUGCACGUGAUUCACAGGUGGGAAGCCACGCCUCCCAAUCAGCAUAUUUCAUACUGUGGUCCUGGGAUUGGCUCAGGCAUGGCCAUGUGACCCAAGCUGGUCCAAUGAGAAUGUGCCCGGGACUUUUUCUGAAACCCCUGGGGAAGGGAGGCUUUGCCUCGCAGUUGCUCAGUUAAGAGGAGCUCUCUGAGGGCCAUUUCCAGGCCGCCUUCCCCCAUCAGGGACACAGGCAAAGUGCAAGAGCCCUGAGGAUUUCCAGGGCUACAAAAAUGUUUUAAUUUCUUUUAAAAUUAGAAGAAAAUAUGAGCUCUUAGGUCAAAGAAAUAUUAACCUAUUCAUCUUUGUACCAGUUGUAAAAUAGAAGCUUAAAGGUGAUUUUAUGGAGGAAGGAGCCCACGAAUGCAAAAGGGCCCAGGGCCCAUGGAAGCCGCGUGCAGCCCUGUCUCUGCCGCCGCACAGGAGGGGGCCUGAGAUGAGGAUGGUGAGCUGACGGCCAGGGCCGGGUGAGGGUGACGCCCGGGCGGUGCCAGCCAUCCACAAAGUCCUGCUGUGUGUGUACUGGCGUGGGCAACCUCAUCAGAGCCCCACGGCACCUCACCAUGAUCGUUUCACAGACGGGGAGAGCGGGACCCAGAAAGGUUAAGCAAUGCCACCAAAGCCACACUGCUUGAAAGUGGGAGAGCUGGGUCUUGAACAUUGAGUUUGGCUGCGGAGUCUGAGCUGGGGAACCGCUGAGCUGCUUUCUGUCUGAGGGCAGGGUUGAGCCUGGGCCUGUCCUGAUGCUGCCAGCCCCUUCUUAGGGUGCUCAGGUGAGGGCGUUGGUGAAGCCCCCUUUCUGUCACUUGCCUCCAAGACAGCCCAGAUGACACACAUGUGGAGCAGGGGCAGAGGAGAGCUGGGCAGUGGCUGCACCAGCCAGGAAGCAGAUCCUGCUCCGCCGGGAUAUCAGACUAUGUGGGCUCUGCAGCAUUCACGAUCCUACACUCCCACUCUGGGGUCUGGUGAGUCCUCCCCCUGCAGCAGGAGAGCAGGCUUUCCCAGAAGGUGAGCCCCACUGCUGUCCAGAUGUGUGAUGGCAGCUUCCUGUGAGGAACCAGACAUUGUCCAAUUGUGGGGGGUCUGGCUUCUUGGAGGUUUGCAGAGUGUGGCAGGUGUGGAAAAACUUGAGGCCAAGGAAAGUCCUUUCGAACAGGAUUAAGCAGGUGGCAUGUUGGUUGUGGUGAUUCCAGUACUGUGUGCGUGUGUGUGUGUGUGUGUGUCUGUGUGCAUGCACGUGUCUGCACAUAUGCAUUCAUGUAUGUAUGUCUGGGUCUGCGUGCGUGGGUCUCUGUGUGUGCAUGCAUAUGUGUAUAUGCAUUGUGUGCCCAUGUGUGUGCACAUCUGUGUGCACCUGUUGAGCCAGUUCUGUGAGUCCCCCUGAGGGCCAGGAGGCCGUGGGCAGGGCUGGUCCUGGAGAGCACUUUGUUUUCUUCUCCACACACUUUGGGUUCCCCCGCUGAGUGCACCCCCUGCAUUUGGCUGGCUGCUUUCACCCCAGCCCCGCUCCUCCUGUGCCCAAGAACCUCCUCCUCGUCUCCUCCUCUGUCACGCAGCUGGUGCAGCACACCAGGCCUGCACUGAAAUGCAUCGGGGAGCAAAAGGGAGGUGAAGUCAAACAUCCCAUCUGCUCCUGUCCACGUCUUCAGGGUCACUGCCAAGUUCUGACACUGCCGACUCCCCACAUUGAGGGCAAACAGCCCCCCCGAAUGCAAAUCUCACUCCUUGUUUGCAGUCACUGAGAAAUUCUUUCUGGAAGAUGUUUAUUGUUUCUCCUUCGCUCUGCAAAAUCAUCAGUGUAGAGAGGAUGUCUUAGGAGUUUCCAGAAUAAGGAAACGAAGGAGCAGCGACUCAUGUGGGUCCUCUUGGGAUGGCUGAAUGGAAUGCAGAGAGGGGAGGAGAGUGGAAAAUAGAGCAUGCAUUUUGAGAAAAUUUCGAGCAGUUUCUCAGAAGCCUUGAGCCUUGGAGGAGGCAGAAAGGGAAAUUAUUUUCAGCUUUGUGUAUGCUGUUUUCCGAGGAUAGCACUUGUCUAUCAGAGGCUGACUUCCUGAAGACUUUAUCUAUCAGAUUAGAAGCCUGUAUGAGAGCCUAGGUAAAAAUGCAAAUUCCUAGGUCCCAGCCCAGACCCUGGGAUCAGAAUAUGGAGUGUGAGAGACCCAGGUUCUUGCGUCUCUGCAGCCUCCCACGUGAUUCAGAUGGUCGCUAAAGUGGGAAGACCAGGCUCCUGAAAGAGCGGAUGGCAUCUGCGCAGUUGAAGCAUCGUUUGUCCAUUCACUCAUUCAGCAAAUGUCACUGAGUCUCUUGAGGUGCCAGCGCUGUCUCUGGUGCUGAACCAGGGCCCCGCGCUCACGGCAUUCACCUUCCAGUGGAGGAGACAGCUUGUAUCUGAGGGAGUCCCCCAGCAGUCAGAAGGGACACGACGGGUUAACUGAAGAGGGCUUAAUAAAGGGCAGGGGUCGGGACCGAGGCUGUUUAUGCCAAGAUGGCAAAACCCAAGAGGUCUGUGGGUGGCGACGUCUGAGACUCUAGCGGCCGCCUGGAGCUUCCGAGGCUCACCAAGAGCAAACCUGAAUUGCUUUCCAGGCCACAUGUCCAUGAACAGCACGUGCAGAAGCAACACCCGGAGGCCUCUCCACUCCCCAGGGGCUGGUGUGGGAGGCGGCCGUGGCACCAGGAGCUGCUGCAUCCUGCAAGUGCACUGCCCGGUUAUUAGUCAUGGAUGGCAUCCAGAAUUUCUCCAGCAUACUUGGGCCCACCAAAUAGUCACAGCAGCACAAACGGCCCAGCAAAUCAGAGGCCCUGAGGGACAGGACCCAGAGCUGGGAGGGUGCACAGGACAAGCCUGGCUCCCUGCGUGCCUGGAGGGUGGCUCCCUCGCCCUGGCCACUGUAACUCCGACUGCCUGUCCUGGAACACGUGCCUGCCAUGGUGUGAGGGUACACAGGGUAGCCUGAGCCCUACCUGAACUUCAGAGACCAGGGGCACGGGGGGAUCCCUGGGCUGAUAUCAGAAACAAGGGCAUCGGUGCUGGCGAGAAAGUAAGGGGAGGCCCCGGCCCCCUGCAAAGGAUCCCGUGAGCCCCCAGGUAGCUGCUCCCAGGACAUGGCACUUGGACCCCCUCAUCCUCACAGUCUCGGACCCGACUCCUCCACGUAGCCAACACCAUAGGAUGUCAACAGUGUCUUUAAAGCUAUGAGGCUCCCAAACAAACUCUCCUCUUCCCGCCCCAGUCGCCUCCAUUCCCAGGACAUACUCGGAGCUCUCAGGCAAGCGGGACUGCUGUGGUCCUCAGCCGACAGUCCCGGGGUGCAGCCAGAGACCACACUGCAGCCUCAGCCCUCUCCUGCCUGCCUCCACUCUAAUCUCCACUCCGCAUGGUGCUCUGUCCGACGAAGGAAGUGGCUCGCUGGUCAGGAGAAAGCCCACUCCAGGCCGUGCAUUCGGGAGCUUUCCAUGGAAGGAGCCGGGUACGCAGGUGGACGAGCAGGACAUCAGCCAGAGGCUGGAAGACACUCCAGGGUCUUGGCAGUGGGAGCCUCCAGGGCCCUGAAGGUUUAUUUGAGCCACUGUGCAAGGGGGCUGGUGCCUGGCUCCAUGUGGAGACCUCCCCUUCCCCCAGGACAGAGCGAGCUCCUUCCUAUGGGAUUUCCAAUAAAGCUCCUCACAACUUAGACGAGUUUCUAACCUAGGGGAUUCAUCAUUUCACUAAAAUGUAUUUACUGAGUACCUACUGCAUGCCACGUGCCAUGCCCGGCAUGAGAAACAGAGGAACAAGAAGGGCAGGACACAUCUGAGGAGCCUGUGUCCUGGGAGGCGGACAGGGUGGGAUCCAGGAGCAGGACCGGGCCUCAUGACUCCUGGCUGGGAGGUGGACAGGGCGGGAUCCAGGAGCGGAACGGGGCCUUGUGACUUCUGUUUGGGAGGCUUGAGCCACAGAGGAGGUUGGCGCCACCUUCUCUGGAGGGAAGGCAGAAGGACAGAAGUUUUGGAGGAAUCACGAGUUUGGUUUGGGCCGAUGCAGGUUCAGCAGCCAUGAGGGCCCUGGAUGGGUCCGUGUCUCCUCACAAAGGAGUUGUUUAUGACUCCAGUUAUGCACCCAUGAGUAGCAUGAGAGCUAUACCAAGGUCUGUUUCCCGGCUACUGUGAACCUGGGGGGUUUCUGGUGAACGGAGCCCACACUGACGCGGGGCAGAAACACACGUUCCAUCGUUCUGAGCUGAAAGGGGGCAGCCUGGACAGAGCACAUGGUGGGGAGAAGCCGCUGUUCCCUGCUGUGCCGGGCUGGGGUGACUGGCGGUUGAUAAACAGCCCCGCUCCUAACAAAGAGCCCUGGAGCGGGAGCCGGCACAGUCGACGUGCCAUUUAUCUUAAGGCUUUCAGGGAGGAAAAAUAUAUUUAAAAAAAAGCUCCUGGGAAAUGGACAAUUAUUAAUGAAACUGUUUUAUCAGUGACUUCACUCAUUUGCCAGGCAGGGAGAUGCUGACAUACAAGAGUGAGGCCAGGUGGGCUUUGGAGGGGGCUGAGAAGGUGGCCAGGAGCACAGCGUGCCCUCUCAGCUGUCAGUGGGUCUGCAGGCCCCAGACGCCCUCUCUGAGGACAGCGUUGGGAGUAAGGGCCGCCAUGAGCUUCAUUUAAUUCACCUGACAUCUGGGGAAGCCUGGGGGUGGCUUGCAGAGCCCACACUUAUGACAAAGGGGUGUUGUGGGACCACAGGCUCUUGGUUCCCUAAUCGUUCACUGGAAAGUCAGUGACAUGAGGCAGAUUGAGUAAGAGGAGAAAAGCACACACAUUUAUUUACUGACCAUGUGUGCCUGGGAGCCUUCAGAAUGAAGAUCCAACCCAAUGAUGAGGUACGGAAGCUUCCACACCAUCCUGAGGCACAGCAAGGAAGGCUGAGGACUCUAAGCACUGCCAGAAACAGGUCAUGCUGCAAAGUCAGGCUCAGUGGCAAGACAGGGAAACAGCGGGAGAAAGGAAGAGGCUUGGCUAGCACAGGCAGCCUUGUUAUGGAGGUGAAGCCUCCCUUGGAGAGGAUAGACGGGAAGUGUUUCUUUUCAGACUCUUAACAGUGUCAGACUCUCAAUCUCUCCCAAAUCUGGGAAAGGUACAGAAAGUAGAGGGGGCCUGGCUGCAUUAAUGGAGAUUCUCUACAGGGGCCUGUGGCAGCUGUUUCAAAUUAUGUCAAGCAAAUGUAUUUUGGGGUUACAUAUUUUAAAUUCCUCCAGCAUUCUCUGCAGUUCUCUGCUGGUGCAGAUGGCUCUGCCUGUGGGCUCAGGCAACAGCUCAGACCUCAGGAGUGCACGGGGCGGCUUCUUCUAGGAGGCUCAGAGGUGUUGAUGAGAAAUGCCAAACUCUAAAAUAUUUGAAGAGAUGUAUUCUGGGCCAAAUGUGAGGACCAUGACCUAUGACACAGCCUCAGGAGGUCCUGAGAACAUGUACCCGAGGAGGCUGGGUUGCAGCUUGGUUUUAUACGUUUUAGGUAGACAUAAGACAUCAAUUAAUACAUGUGAGGUGUACAUUGGUUUAGUCUGAAAGGUGGGACAACUGGAAGCAGGGUUGGGGGCGGCUAUAGUAGGUCAUAGAUGGGUUCAAAGAUUUUCUGAUUGGCACUUGGUUGAAAGAGUGAGGUUAUUAUUGAAGGACUUGGAAUCAAUAGAGAGGAAUGUAUGGGUUGAGAUGAGAGGCUGUGGAGACCAAGGUUCUUAUUACGUAGAUAAGUCUCUCAGAUGACCACCCUUAGAGGAAAAAGGUGGCAAAUGUUUCCUAUUCAGACCUUUAAAAGAUGCUAGACUCUGGAAAAGACCUGGAAAGGGCACGGGAUUCUCUACAGAAUGCAAAUUUCCCCCACAAGAGACAGCUGUGCAGGGCCAUUCCAGAAAUAAAUAAACAGAUUUUUGGGUAAAAUACUUAGAUUUCUUUCAGGGCCUGCUAUCUCUCAUGUGACAAUUUACUAGAUUCGGGUUGGAAUUUGGUAUCUUUUUUUUUUUUUUUUUUUUGAGACGGAGUCUCACUCUGU